rnacentral:rRNA from 1 species
CCUACGGGAGGCAGCAGUGAGGAAUAUUGGCCAAUGGACGAGAGUCUGAACCAGCCAAGUAGCGUGAAGGAUGACUGCCCUAUGGGUUGUAAACUUCUUUUAUAUGGGAAUAAAACAGGGUAUGCAUACACUCUUGUAUGUACCAUAUGAAUAAGGAUCGGCGAACUCCGUGCCAGCAGCCGCGGUAAUUCGGAGGAUCCGAGCGUUAUCCGGAUUUAUUGGGUUUAAAGGGAGCGUAGGUGGAUUGUUAAGUCAGUUGUGAAAGUUUGGGGCUUAAACGUAAAAUUGCAGUUGAAACUGGCAAGCUUGAGUACAGGAGAGGAGGGCGGAAUUCGUGGUGUAGCGGUGAAAUGCUUAGAUAUCACGAAGAACUCCGAUGGCGAAGGCAGCUCACUGGACUGCAACUGACACUGAUGCUCGAAAGUGUGGGUAUCAAACAGGAUUAGAUACCCGAGUAGUC